rnacentral:sRNA from 1 species
UUAAUUGGUGAGCCAAGGGGGACCCACCCCUGAUUUCUGUCCCCAGCCUCCCAUCUCUCUUUUCCUUCUUCUUCGUCUCUCCCCCCGUAACUCUCCCUUAGCUCUCUCCCUCUCAGCUCUCCCGUACCUCUCUCCCUCAACCUCUCGCAUCUCUCUCUUCCCCUGGACUCACUAGGACCGAGUCACCAUCGAAGAGAGGCUCGCAACGAACCCCGGACCCUGCCCUGCGAGUUCGACGGCACGGAGUAAGCUCCGGCGAGCACCGCCCCUUUCGAGGCCAUUUCCGGCCAAACCACGGCGAGUUGGCCGGCGUGUAAGUUUCCGGCGAGUCCGACGGAUUUCGAGGCAUUUUACGGCCAAACCACGGCGAGUUAGACGCCGUGUGAGUUUUAUUUAUUGAACUCUUUAAUGUGCUUAGGGGCAAAUAUUGUGACGCUUCCGUCUUCGCUAGUGGCGCAGCUUUUGGCAACUAAGACUUAGAAUCAAGGCACCUAAUCCCGGCGUCAAGGCACUUUCGCAGCAGCAUUUUCGGAUCCUCUCGAUGUAG